CCUACGGGAGGCAGCAGUGGGGAAUAUUGGGCAAUGGGCGCAAGCCUGACCCAGCAACGCCGCGUGAAGGAAGAAGGCCCUCGGGUUGUAAACUUCUUUUAUAAAGGACGAAACAAAUGACGGUACUUGAUGAGUAAGCCACGGCUAACUACGUGCCAGCAGCAGGGGGAAUACGUAGGUGGCAAGCGUUAUCCGGAUGUACUGGGUGUAAAGGCCGUGUAGGUGGGACUGCAAGUCCGCUGUGAAAACCAUGGGCUCAACCCAUGGCCUGCAUUUGAAACUGGAGUUCUUGAGUGGUGGAGAGGCAGGCGGAAUUCCGUGUGUAGCGGUGAAAUGCGUAGAUAUACGGAGGAACACCAGUGGCGAAGGCGGCCUGCUGGACAUUAACUGACGCUGAGGCGCGAAAGCGUGGGGAGCAAACAGGAUUAGAUACCCUUGUAGUC
rnacentral:rRNA from 1 species